rnacentral:rRNA from 1 species
GGGGUUUAGGGUAGCUUGGGAUCGGCGGGGAGACGGGAGGGGUGCUUGGGAUCGGUGGGGAGCUCGCGCUCGGCGUCGGCUAGGUCGGUGGUCGCCCCGCCACGCUCGUCGCCGGCCAGGUCGGUGGCCGCCCCGCCGCGCUCGUCGGCGGCCAGGUCGGUAGCCGCCGCACCGCGCUCGUCGCCUGCCAGGAUGGUGUCCGCCCCGUCACGCUAGAACUGGAGAGGUCCAUGUCCCGGAGGGGUGGUCGCCCCGAGGACACGAAGGGGCGAGGCCGUCGUGUGAGGUGGUGGUGUAGAGAGAGAGAGCGAGAGAGAGAGAGAGAGAGAGAGAGAGAGAGAGAGACGAGGUGGUGUGAGGUGGCAAAUAGUGACAUAAAGAAUACAGUACCACUUCCAACGUCUCCACCUUCCCUUCGUCUCCUGGUAAGCUGGUAUGAGGUGGCGACGAGUGGCAAGCUGGUAUGAGAGUCCUGUUCGACGAGUGCCUCCACGGGUUCAUGUUCGUCUGGUAGAAGAGGGAGGAGGGGAUCCGGUAAUUGAGCAGGUCGUUCGUUCCUUUCAUUUGAUCCGUUGUUGGUUCGACUGAUCGUGUCAAGGUCAAGGGCACUCUAGAUGAUACUGUUUCUACUCUUCCUCGUUCUUUGAACGUCUUCGCGGUUGAUGACUUAUACUCUUCUAAUCCCGAUUUUUAUACUACUCCUUGUUGGCGUAUAAGGUUAGUGAACCGUAGCGACGUAAUCCAUACUACCAAUCCUUGAGUUUAGUUUACGUCGUUCCAUCACGGUAGUAGCCACCCCUGAGUCGAAGACGGUAUUGUGUUGUUCCGAGUUCGAGACUCAUGUCAGGACUGCUACUCCAGUAACUCCUCCUACUUCAACUACUAUAACAUCACCUCUUCCUUCUAUUCCACGAUUAAGAUGGAAACAAAAACUCCCUACCCCCGAUAAACAUACGAUAUACACGAACUCACGAAAAUGAUUAAAAACUUUCUGUAAAAAAACGUGCUCUAGAUCAUCAACAGAGAAAAAAUAAUAUUACGAAACUUCCAAAGAUUCUUCCGUUCCUUCAGCUAAUUAUUUUUCUGAUUCUUCUCAAAACUAUUUGGAAGACUCUACCGAGGUCCUUUUUGUUCCCACUAACGAGGUCGGAGUCCUCCGAGUUUCUCCCACGAUGGACCAAACUUGAGCCUACUUGUACUUAGACGAGCUCAGUGAUCCGUCUUUUGUUUCGACAGAGAUUGGUUGGUACUUCUUUCAGAACACGUUUACCUACAUCCUUCGGGUCGUUUACACCUACUUCCUUCGGAGGUACACGUGCACCUACAUUCUUCGAGCUACGUGCUUCUACUUUCUUCGGACUACGUACCCCCACUUCAUUCGGACUACGUCUACCCACUUUGUUCGGUACAGGGUAGAUGAGACACGUGUUUAGUCGGUUAACUUCAAGGACUCAAGAGACUAGUUGUCGAACUGGUUGUCGCCGUUUACCUGCAACUUCGAUGUGGAUAACACCUAUUCACGUCCUUACCCUUUCCCGAGCUUUCUGAGUGAUUUCUCAAUCCGAGAUUCUAAUAGUAGGUUCACCGACUCCCCUUCUUUGCGGGCCUGUUUGGUCGUAUCCGACGUUUCGAACGUAGGGUCCCACCCCAGCGACGCUCCAUCGUAGAUGGUGAGGAAGGGGUGAAGUUCCUCAUGUUCCGGUUACCCGUAGUAUAACUGUCAAAGUAACCGUUUCAACGAUAGUUAAAACUAUACCUGUGGGCAAGGCUACGGCACUUCAUACGUACGUGACUGUAGGAGUUCUGGCGCAACUUCUUAUCCGCGGUGGUAGAGUUCUUCUUCGUAAAACUGUUACAUGGCCGGUUAGAUCACUCACAGUUUAGAGAACUAUUCUUACACUGUCUACGCCUCACCGUUUCUGACCAGUUCUACACCAGAUGGGGUUCCGUGUUCCUUUGGACAGUCAGCUUGUUCCUCUUGGCAAGGUUUCAAUUCAAGGUAGUCUUUUGACCAAGAGCGGGGAUGUAAAGGGUACACGUACGAAACUUUCUCCGAGCAUUCCCACUUCUCAACUGACGUAAACUAGAUAAGUUCCUCACGGUGUUACCGUUCUUCUGACCUAAGAGACUCGGUCAAUUCUUCCGCUAUCGACUGUACCUUUUUCGAUACCUUGUUCCCCAUGGUCUUCCACCUCUUGGUUUCUUACAACGACGACAACAACGACUGUAAGAGUGAUUUCUUACAGGGAGGUCGUGUAAGGAGUUUUACAACCGGAACUCAGUUCGAGGUUCUUCUUCAAGUUGUCUAGACGUCGACGAAACCUACGAGUACAUGUUCUUGAUCUCAUGUUCGAACUCUUCCUCUCCGCUCAGCGACUCAACUACGCUCUCCUCGAACAACUACAGUUCUUCUUUAGUCUCCUCUGGCUUCGACGUGCGCGGCGUCUCAUGGUCAACAAUGACGUUUCUCAACUCCGGUGGCUACGAUCUAAACGCGUAGAGUACUUAGACAAGCUUCCAUUUUAUCAAAUCAUGCCACACCAACUACAACCGAAACCAUGAAAACUACAACUCAACAAAGCUGGACCCCAACUACUCAAAGAAACUGACCUGUACACUUGGUGUUAUACCUGGUCUCUAACCGACACCAAACUACUACAAGACAAAACCAACUACAACACAUGACUAUGGUUCGAUGACCGAUACAAUAAAACCAACCACGUAGAAUACUUGAACACCACAUUACUAUGACAACCCGGAUUCAAUUACUUUAGAACCUCUUAACAUAACCAACUG